ACACAUGCAAGUCGAGGGGCAGCAUGAACUUAGCUUGCUAAGUUUGAUGGCGACCGGCGCACGGGUGAGUAACACGUAUCCAACCUGCCGAUGACUCGGGGAUAGCCUUUCGAAAGAAAGAUUAAUACCCGAUGGCAUAGUUCUUCCGCAUGGUGGAACUAUUAAAGAAUUUCGGUCAUCGAUGGGGAUGCGUUCCAUUAGGUUGUUGGCGGGGUAACGGCCCACCAAGCCUUCGAUGGAUAGGGGUUCUGAGAGGAAGGUCCCCCACAUUGGAACUGAGACACGGUCCAAACUCCUACGGGAGGCAGCAGUGAGGAAUAUUGGUCAAUGGACGAGAGUCUGAACCAGCCAAGUAGCGUGAAGGAUGACUGCCCUAUGGGUUGUAAACUUCUUUUAUACGGGAAUAAAGUGAGGCACGUGUGCCUUUUUGUAUGUACCGUAUGAAUAAGGAUCGGCUAACUCCGUGCCAGCAGCCGCGGUAAUACGGAGGAUCCGAGCGUUAUCCGGAUUUAUUGGGUUUAAAGGGAGCGUAGGCGGACGCUUAAGUCAGUUGUGAAAGUUUGCGGCUCAACCGUAAAAUUGCAGUUGAUACUGGGUGUCUUGAGUACAGUAGAGGCAGGCGGAAUUCGUGGUGUAGCGGUGAAAUGCUUAGAUAUCACGAAGAACUCCGAUUGCGAAGGCAGCUUGCUGGACUGUAACUGACGCUGAUGCUCGAAAGUGUGGGUAUCAAACAGGAUUAGAUACCCUGGUAGUCCACACAGUAAACGAUGAAUACUCGCUGUUUGCGAUAUACAGUAAGCGGCCAAGCGAAAGCGUUAAGUAUUCCACCUGGGGAGUACGCC
rnacentral:rRNA from 1 species